GCGCCCUUGGUGUAAUGGUAACACGCAAUCUACUUCUGAAAUAUUGCAUGCGGUCCUGGGAUUGAGUCCGGGGUUCGACUCCCCUAGGGCGCA